GACGAACGCUGGCGGCGUGCUUAACACAUGCAAGUCGAACGGGUCUGCCCUGUUUUUUGCGGGGUGGGUCAGUGGCGAACGGGUGAGUAACACGUGAGUAACCUGCCCCUCACUUCUGGAUAACCGCUUGAAAGGGUGGCUAAUACGGGGUGUUCUGGCUGUGCCGCAUGGUGUGGCUGGGAAAGAUUCACUUUUGUGGUGUUUUGGUGGGGGAUGGGCUCGCGGCCUAUCAGCUUGUUGGUGGGGUGAUGGCCUGCCAAGGCUUUGACGGGUAGCCGGCCUGAGAGGGUGGGCGGUCACACUGGGACUGAGAUACGGCCCAGACUCCUGCGGGAGGCAGCAGUGGGGGGUAUUGCACAAUGGGCGGAAGCCUGAUGCAGCGACGUCGCGUGAGGGAUGGAGGCCUUCGGGUUGUGAACCUCUUUCGCCGGAGAAGAAGGUCCUGCUCUUUGUGGUGGGGUUGACGGUAGCCGGGUUAUGAAGCGCCGGCUAACUACGUG
rnacentral:rRNA from 1 species